rnacentral:rRNA from 1 species
UACGGGGGGGGUAAGCGUUGUUCGGAAUUACUGGGCGUAAAGGGCUCGUAGGCGGCCAACUAAGUCAUACGUGAAAUCCCUCAGCUUAACUGGGGAACUGCGUGUGAUACUGGAUGGCUUGGAUUUGGGAGAGGGAUGCGGAAUUCCGGGUGUAGCGGUGGAAUGCGUAGAGAUCCGGAAGAACACCGGUGGCGAAGGCGGUCUGCUGGGCAGUAGCUGACACUGAGGCGCGACAGCGUGGGGAGCAAACAGG